rnacentral:snRNA from 1 species
GUGCUCACUUUGGCAGCAUGUAUACUAAAGUUGAGACAAUACAGAGAGGAUAAGCAUGGCCUCUGCAUAAGGAUGACACACAAAUUCAUGAAGCAUUCCAUAUUUUA